rnacentral:lncRNA from 1 species
AUUUCAGUAGCCCAAUUGUAUUCCAUAUAGGCCAACCACUCCCUAUUUGUGUUCUAUAACUAAUAAGGAUUCCAUUUUGCACCAGAAACCAUAUAACCUUUGCACUGGAUUUUCCUGAAAUUUGCUCCAAACAUUGCUGUUUAACACUGUUUUCACACUUAGAAUUUAUGCAGCUCAAGAGUUGACCGAAAUAGUUAGAGUGCUGACUUUG